UACGUAGGGGGCUAGCGUUGUCCGGAUUUAUUGGGCGUAAAGCGCUCGCAGGCGGUCCGAUGCGUCGUGCGUGAAAGACCCCGGCUCAACUGGGGAGGGUCGUGCGAUACGGGCGAACUGGAGGCCAGUAGGGGGAUGCGGAAUUCCGGGUGUAGCGGUGGAAUGCGUAGAGAUCCGGAAGAACACCGGUGGCGAAGGCGGCCUGCUGGGCUAUGGCUGACACUGAGGCGCGACAGCGUGGGGAGCAAACAGG
rnacentral:rRNA from 1 species